UAGACGUGGAUAGACGAAGAGGUUGAGG
rnacentral:sRNA from 1 species